GCAUUAUUGAGGACUUGAUUUGAAGAAAAACCAGCCACUCAUGUGAUUAUGCUACAGGAGUAUAAGCCAGGAUGACGUGUAUUGGUCCUGAAGGGAUUCACCCAUCAAAGACAAAUCCUCAUGCACAAGGACUUUCACUGCAAUAUUAAUGAAAGGAGAGAUCAUCUUAGUGGGAACAUGGGUGCAUUGAAACUAGAGAAAAGCAUGGCAACUUCAAACUCUCCCUGGCUGGAAACAUAUACUAAUUAUCCUGUCCUCGGGUAACCAGAUGAUAUUUUUUCCAUUAAGGCUACAAAGUAACCAGAAAAGCCAUCAUGAUUGGUGAAUUUGAUCAGGACAGUCACCACAUUGGCCAUCCUAUGAGCUGUCUCUAGGUAAUCAUCUGCCUGUCUACUUCUGUGCAGUGGUUGAGUGACCAGCAGCUGAUAUGGCUGUUGUGUCUGUGAAGGCUAAAAUAUUCUAGAACUAGUUCACUGUUUAACCCUGAAAUAAACUCAUAAAGUCAAGCAGAA